GACGAACGCUGGCGGCGUGCCUAAUACAUGCAAGUCGAACGAGAGCGACCGGUGCUUGCACUGGUCAAUCUAGUGGCGAACGGGUGAGUAACACGUGGGUAACCUGCCCAUCAGAGGGGGAUAACAUCCGGAAACGGAUGCUAAAACCGCAUAGGUCUUCGAACCGCAUGGUUUGAAGAGGAAAAGAGGCGCAAGCUUCUGCUGAUGGAUGGACCCGCGGUGCAUUAGCUAGUUGGUGAGGUAACGGCUCACCAAGGCCGUGAUGCAUAGCCGACCUGAGAGGGUGAUCGGCCACAUUGGGACUGAGACACGGCCCAAACCCCUACGGGAGGCAGCAGUAGGGAAUCUUCCGCAAUGGACGCAAGUCUGACGGAGCAACGCCGCGUGAGUGAAGAAGGUUUUCGGAUCGUAAAACCCUGUUGUUAGAGAAGAACAAGUGCUAGAGUAACUGUUAGCGCCUUGACGGUAUCUAACCAGAAAGCCACGGCUAACUACGUG
rnacentral:rRNA from 1 species